AGUGAACGCUGGCGGUAGGCCUAACACAUGCAAGUCGAACGGCAGCACAGUAAGAGCUUGCUCUUACGGGUGGCGAGUGGCGGACGGGUGAGGAAUACAUCGGAAUCUACUUUUUCGUGGGGGAUAACGUAGGGAAACUUACGCUAAUACCGCAUACGACCUACGGGUGAAAGCAGGGGAUCUUCGGGCCUGGCGGGGGGGAAUGGGCCGGUGUCGGAUUAGCUAGUUGGCGGGGUAGAGGCCCACCCAGGCGUUGAUGGGUAGCCGGUCUGAGAGGGUGACCGGCAACAUUGGGACUGAGAGACGGCCCAGACUCCUACGGGAGGCAGCAGUGGGGAAUAUUGCACAAUGGGCGGAAGCCUGAUGCAGCAACGCCGCGUGCGGGAUGACGGCCUUCGGGUUGUAAACCGCUUUCGCCUGUGACGAAGCGUGAGUGACGGUAAUGGGUAAAGAAGCACCGGCUAACUACGUG
rnacentral:rRNA from 1 species